GGGGGAGUAGCUCAGCGGUGAGAGCGAUGGCAUAACCUGCCGUAGGUCGCUGGUUCGAGUCCGGCCUCUCCUU
rnacentral:tRNA from 1 species